rnacentral:rRNA from 1 species
AGUGAGCGCUGGCGGUAGGCCUAACACAUGCAAGUCGAACGGCAGCACAGUAAGAGCUUGCUCUUACGGGUGGCGAGUGGCGGACGGGUGAGGAAUACAUCGGAAUCUACUUUUUCGUGGGGGAUAACGUAGGGAAACUUACGCUAAUACCGCAUACGACCUACGGGUGAAAGCAGGGGAUCUUCGGACCUUGCGCGAUUGAAUGAGCCGAUGUCGGAUUAGCUAGUUGGCGGGGUAAAGGCCCGCCAAGGCGACGAUCCGUAGCUGGUCUGAGAGGAUGAUCAGCCACACUGGAACUGAGACACGGUCCAGACUCCUACGGGAGGCAGCAGUGGGGAAUAUUGGACAAUGGGCGCAAGCCUGAUCCAGCCAUACCGCGUGGGUGAAGAAGGCCUUCGGGUUGUAAAGCCCUUUUGUUGGGAAAGAAAAGCAGCAGGUUAAUACCCCGCUGUUCUGACGGUACCCAAAGAAUAAGCACCGGCUAACUUCGU